GUGUCAUCGAAUGCCUGGCUGGCAUUCAGUUUCUUGCCCCAAGCGGCAUUCGUUUCCAACAGGCAGUAGAGUGUGGUCUAAGGGCGGGACGUCCUAUACGAAACAAAGCUAUAGAUGAUAUCAAUCACAUCUAUGGCCCCAAAAAUCAGUGUGGGUGAGGCUUCGGCGGGCGAUGCACUAUUCCUUGGCGGCAAAGGUCGAGCCCCAGCACAAACUCCUGCUUGACGAGCGUAAGACGGCCAUCGAAGCGACUCGCCAGCAGCCCAAGGGCUCCCACUAUGGACCAAAAACUCGGCCAACUUCUGGCUGCGCGUCCGCACCAAGGAAAUCAGCAAGGGUCCGACGUGCACUUUACUGGAAAUUUACAGUUGCAACAGCGAAAGCCUCACACCAGACGAACAAUUUGGAAUUAAAAUCGAAAUUUUUGAGUGCUACACAAAUGAAAUUUUCUCCACGACUGUCUAAA